UUAAGCGACUAAGCGUACACGGUGGAUGCCCUGGCAGUCAGAGGCGAUGAAGGACGUGCUAAUCUGCGAAAAGCGUCGGUAAGGUGAUAUGAACCGUUAUAACCGGCGAUGUCCGAAUGGGGAAACCCAGUGCAAUUCGUUGCACUAUCGUUAACUGAAUACAUAGGUUAACGAGGCGAACCGGGGGAACUGAAACAUCUAAGUACCCCGAGGAAAAGAAAUCAACCGAGAUUCCCCCAGUAGCGGCGAGCGAACGGGGAGCAGCCCAGAGUCUGAAUCAGCUUGUGUGUUAGUGGAACGGUCUGGAAAGUCCGACGGUACAGGGUGAUAGUCCCGUACACCAAAAUGCACAGGUUGUGAACUCGAAGAGUAGGGCGGGACACGUGGUAUCCUGUCUGAAUAUGGGGGGACCAUCCUCCAAGGCUAAAUACUCCUGACUGACCGAUAGUGAACCAGUACCGUGAGGGAAAGGCGAAAAGAACCCCGGCGAGGGGAGUGAAAAAGAACCUGAAACCGUGUACGUACAAGCAGUGGGAGCACCUUCGGGUGUGACUGCGUACCUUUUGUAUAAUGGGUCAGCGACUUAUAUUCUGUAGCAAGGUUAACCGUAUAGGGGAGCCGCAGGGAAACCGAGUCUUAACUGGGCGUUAAGUUGCAGGGUAUAGACCCGAAACCCGGUGAUCUAGCCAUGGGCAGGUUGAAGGUUGGGUAACACUAACUGGAGGACCGAACCGACUAAUGUUGAAAAAUUAGCGGAUGACUUGUGGCUGGGGGUGAAAGGCCAAUCAAACCGGGAGAUAGCUGGUUCUCCCCGAAAGCUAUUUAGGUAGCGCCUCGUGAAUUCAUCUUCGGGGGUAGAGCACUGUUUCGGCUAGGGGGUCAUCCCGACUUACCAACCCGAUGCAAACUACGAAUACCGAAGAAUGUUAUCACGGGAGACACACGGCGGGUGCUAACGUCCGUCGUGAAGAGGGAAACAACCCAGACCGCCAGCUAAGGUCCCAAAGUCAUGGUUAAGUGGGAAACGAUGUGGGAAGGCACAGACAGCCAGGAUGUUGGCUUAGAAGCAGCCAUCAUUUAAAGAAAGCGUAAUAGCUCACUGGUCGAGUCGGCCUGCGCGGAAGAUGUAACGGGGCUAAACCAUGCACCGAAGCUGCGGCAGCGACACUAUGUGUUGUUGGGUAGGGGAGCGUUCUGUAAGCCUGCGAAGGUGUGCUGUGAGGCAUGCUGGAGGUAUCAGAAGUGCGAAUGCUGACAUAAGUAACGAUAAAGCGGGUGAAAAGCCCGCUCGCCGGAAGACCAAGGGUUCCUGUCCAACGUUAAUCGGGGCAGGGUGAGUCGACCCCUAAGGCGAGGCCGAAAGGCGUAGUCGAUGGGAAACAGGUUAAUAUUCCUGUACUUGGUGUUACUGCGAAGGGGGGACGGAGAAGGCUAUGUUAGCCGGGCGACGGUUGUCCCGGUUUAAGCAUGUAGGCUGAUUGUCCAGGCAAAUCCGGAUAAUCAAGGCUGAGGUGUGAUGACGAGGCACUACGGUGCUGAAGUAACAAAUGCCCUGCUUCCAGGAAAAGCCUCUAAGCAUCAGGUAACAUCAAAUCGUACCCCAAACCGACACAGGUGGUCAGGUAGAGAAUACCAAGGCGCUUGAGAGAACUCGGGUGAAGGAACUAGGCAAAAUGGUGCCGUAACUUCGGGAGAAGGCACGCUGGUGUGUAGGUGAAGUCCCUGCGGAUGGAGCUGAGACCAGUCGAAGAUACCAGCUGGCUGCAACUGUUUAUUAAAAACACAGCACUGUGCAAACACGAAAGUGGACGUAUACGGUGUGACGCCUGCCCGGUGCCGGAAGGUUAAUUGAUGGGGUUAUCCGUAAGGAGAAGCUCUUGAUCGAAGCCCCGGUAAACGGCGGCCGUAACUAUAACGGUCCUAAGGUAGCGAAAUUCCUUGUCGGGUAAGUUCCGACCUGCACGAAUGGCGUAAUGAUGGCCAGGCUGUCUCCACCCGAGACUCAGUGAAAUUGAACUCGCUGUGAAGAUGCAGUGUACCCGCGGCAAGACGGAAAGACCCCGUGAACCUUUACUAUAGCUUGACACUGAACAUUGAGCCUUGAUGUGUAGGAUAGGUGGGAGGCUUUGAAGCGUGGACGCCAGUCUGCGUGGAGCCAACCUUGAAAUACCACCCUUUAAUGUUUGAUGUUCUAACGUUGGCCCCUGACCGGGGUUGCGGACAGUGUCUGGUGGGUAGUUUGACUGGGGCGGUCUCCUCCCAAAGCGUAACGGAGGAGCACGAAGGUUAGCUAAUCCUGGUC
rnacentral:rRNA from 1 species